GAGUGUGCAGCUUAGUGGCCUUAGCUUUGCAAAAGCUAGUGAGAAAUUUUAUGCUUGUUUCCACACUUU
rnacentral:tRNA from 3 species